rnacentral:lncRNA from 1 species
CUCUGCCUCCCCUUUUUGGUGAUCUCCCUGCUUCGUGCUGGACCAGCAGAUUUCUAAGGCCCUUGGCAGUUUUGAUGUCAUCACCAUUAUUAGCAGCAGCGUCACACCACCUGGAGAAAAGCUGUAGCCCAUAACAUGCAUUAAUCACCAGCCAGCAUUUGUAUGCAUGAUCUCUUAUUUUCAUAACAACCUACCACGUAUAUAUUAUUAUACUCAAUCUACAUAGGAGAGAACUGAAGCUCAGGAAAGGAGACAGCACUGAUCCUUGUAGACCAUUUGACUGUUUUGUGAUAGAGAACUCGAGGAAAGACUUCCCAAGGAACUCAAGUAAAGGGUGUUUAUUCUACGUCAAUGCAUGUGAAAACUUCAGCUUCACAGAGGUUGAAGAUGCAGGGUAGGUCCUACAUCAGGAAGGCCCUAGAGACUACAGCAGAAGGAAGUCAAGGAUCUUUGCUUUGGUGUACCACCGCAACCAUCACUCAGUUGUACUCUGAGUUCUGAGUCUUUUUUUUUUUUUAUCUUGCUGGUGUCAUUUCUCUCAAUUUUAGGGCUUUGCAAAAAGAUUCCUUGGGCUCCUGAAGGAGUUAUGGAAUGGCUUGAGGAGAUCCAUUAUUAUCCAAGUAGUGAGUGAAUGAAAAGCAUUCUAAAAUAAAUUAAAAUUAUAUACUUUUUAGAGUAUUCAUUAAUCAGUAAAUUGAAUUUUUAUAUUGGUAGAGCUCUAAAAUAGUUUGUAGGAGAUUGCAAAAGUGGCCACAAUACCUCGAAGCAACUCUCAUCGAAAGACUGAAUUUAUCUCUCCAUUUCUUGAAACUGUAUGGUCUCAUGACUUACUUUGAUAGAGUGUGGUGGAAGUGAUGUCAUGCCAGUUGUAGCUCUAGGCCUCAAAAGGCUUUGAGCCUGCUGUUUUUGCAUUUUUGGAAUCAUGAGAAUGCCAUGUGAAUGAGCCUGGAUAGCUUACUGGAGAACAGGAAACCAUGAGAAAAGGCGCCCCAGUUGCCUCAGUUGUACCAGAUGAAGUCAUUAUUGACCAUUCAGGCUCAUACAUAUUGACAAUUCAGGCUCAUACCUGGCAGAGAACUACAGGCAAAUGAGCAUAUCCAACCAAUAUCAGCCAAGUCCCACUCAGACCAGAACUGCCCAGCUGAGCCAACACAAACUGCUGACUUGUAGAAUAGUGAGUUAAGUGAAUGGUUGUUGGUUAAACCCACUGUUUUUUAAGUUUUAAGUUACGCAGCAAAGAGUAAUAAAUACCUAGUUCUACAAAAACGAUUUUCUUUUUCUAAAAUGUCAACUUUUAUUUUAGAUACGGGGGUACAUGUGCAGGCUUGUUACAUGGGUAUAUUGCACCCAGGUAGUGAGCAUAGCACCCAAUAGGUAGUUUUUCAACCCACACCCUCUCCUCCCUUCCCCCACUAGUAGUCUGCAGUGUCUAUUGUUCCAUUGUUUAUGUCCAUGUGUGCUCAAUGUUUAGCUCCCAUUUAUGCAUGAGAAUAUGUGGUAUUCAGUUUUUUGUUCCUGUGUUAAUUUGCUUAGGAUCAUGGCUGCCUGCUGCAUCCAUGUUGCGGCAAGGGACAUGAUUUUAUUCUUUCUUAGGGCUGCAUAGGAUUCCAUGGUGCAUAUGUACCACAUUAAAAAAAUCCACUUCACUGUUGAUGGGCACCCACAUUGAUUUCCUGUCUUUGUAUUGUGCAUAGUGCUGUAAUGAACUUAGGAGUGUAUGUGUCUUUUUGGUAGGACAAUUUAUAUUCUUUUGGGUAGAUACCUAAUAGUGGGAUUGCUGGCUUGAAUGGUAGUUCUAUUUUUAGUUCCUUAAGAAAUCUCCAAACUGCUUUCCACUGUGGCUGAACUAAUUUACAUUUCCACCAACGCAUAUAAGCAUUCCCUUUUUCCAC